rnacentral:rRNA from 1 species
UACGUAGGGUGCAAGCGUUGUCCGGAUUUAUUGGGUUUAAAGGGUGCGUAGGCGGCCUGUUAAGUCAGUGGUGAAAUCCAACAGCUCAACUGUUGAUGUGCCAAUGAUACUGACAGGCUUGAGUACAGACGAGGUAGGCGGAAUUGACAGUGUAGCGGUGAAAUGCAUAGAUAUUCGGAGGGACACCAGUGGCGAAGGCGGCUCACUGGCUCGAUACUGACGCUGAGGUGCGAAAGCGUGGGGAGCAAACAGG